rnacentral:rRNA from 1 species
UACCAGCACCCCGAGUGGUCGGGACGAUUAUUGGGCCUAAAGCAUCCGUAGCCGGUUCUACAAGUCUUCCGUUAAAUCCAUCUGCUUAACAGAUGGGCUGCGGAGGAUACUAUAGAGCUAGGAGGCGGGAGAGGCAAGCGGUACUUAGUGGGUAGGGGUAAAAUCCGUUGAUCCAUUGAAGACCACCAGUGGCGAAGGCGGCUUGCCAGAACGCACUCGACGGUGAGGGAUGAAAGCUGGGGGAGCAAACCGG